AAGGGAGGCGCGAGACACCAAGACUGGUGAUCGAGCAGCGACACCCAUGACAAGUCUAACAGUAAUAGAUAAAUAACAGUAAUAUAUAAAUCAAACAAACAAUAAAUAUUAGAACAGGUUUACGUUAAAGUAAGUCGAGGCGACGUGCAUACCCAAAAGACACCCGAUCCAAGGUGAAACGGAUAACGACUCCGAGCACCGUCUUGUGAGUAACCAUGGCAACGUCAGCGAAAUCUUAUACUGCGGAAUACAGACACUGCCUGAGUUGAGCUUGAAUUCAUGUUUAUCCCGCGAGGGGAAGCCGAUAACUUGGCAUAUUUAUAUUAUUAUAAAAUAGUUUUGUUUGUCGCAGUUAGGGAUACGAGAGUGUGUAAACAAGUGGAAGUAUAGUGGUAAGGUGCUUUGGUGCCGGAGACGUCGUGUGAAGAGGGAAGAGCCUAAGGACCCAACCUGACGUUAACAGUUACUGUGGACUGUGGGUGAAGUCAAGUGUUGAGCUGACAAUGACAAGGGGUGGAGGGUGUCAGCACAUCAAACAGAUGUGGUGACCCGAGACAGGGAAUUUUGAGAUUUGCUCAGUGAAAAGCGAGGUACAAAAAAAUUGGACUUGGUUGAAGAGCGAGUGUUGUGUUUAUGCACAGAGGUAAGCGAAACAAAAUAAGGCUGUUCACUCUAAUCCUUCGAAUUAUUGGAUUUCACAGAAUGUCUAAGUGUCCACACACCAUUUACUUAAUCCCUGUGAAUAAAAAAGCAGGGAUUUCAAAAGAAGAGAUUUUAAAAGAAUUCAACAUUUUGGAUUUGAUUUGGAAGUGUUCUGUAAUAGUGAAAUAUUGAAUAUUAAUUAUCACCAGAUCAAAUUAUUUCAGUAGAAUAUAUGACAUUGCAUAUGCCAAAU